rnacentral:rRNA from 1 species
GCUAACUGUGGGCGGGCAGGCGCGGGAGUACAGUGGGGGCAAGAGUGAUUCGGAAGGAUUGGGCGUAAAGGGCGCGUAGGCGGUUGCUUAAGUCGGAUGUGCAAUCCCCGGGCUCAACCCGGGAACUGCAUCCGAGACUGGGAGGCUAGAGUACUGGAGAGGUUGGUGGAAUUCCUCGUGUAGCGGGGAAAUGCGUAGAGAUGAGGAGGAACACCAGUGGCGAAGGCGGCCAACUGGACAGUAACUGACGCUGAGGCGCGAAAGCGUGGGUAGCAAACAGGAUUAGAUACCCGAGUAGUC